AUCCAUUGCUGGCGAGCUACUGUGAUUUUUGCGGGGUGAUAAGAAACUUGUUUUGUUAUGUUACCAGAUUAUUUUUUCUGGUUCCUUUUCAUUUGGGUAGACUAUGUAAGAAGGAAAAUCUGGGACUUAAUGGCUGCUCUUCAGAUUCUUUUGUUACAUGGGGUGCUCCCUUGAUUUGUUGCUCUCCCCCUUUCUUCAGGUUUCUCAGCCAUGGAUACCAGCACAUGCUUUUUUGGAGUUAGGAGGUAAUCAAUACGGCCAUCUCCUCAACUUAUUCUCAUGUUUCUGGCAAUGCUUCAGUCACCCUUGAAGUUUUUUUUCAUCUUUUACAAUUAUCUUGUGAGCAAAUGAUAAACCACUUUUUAUUGUUUUAAUAAAGUUUCUAUCAACAGACAAAC
rnacentral:lncRNA from 1 species